AUAAGCUAAAACGGACCAAAUAUUUGGACCCGAUCGAUGAUUCGGGUUUCUUCGUGAAUCGGCUGUUUCGUACAUCCUCGAGUUCCCGAGGAUCUGCAACUAAAAUCAUUACUUGACACUUGUCAACUGUCAUGAAUAGACACAGUGACAAUACAUUUGCCUCUAUUUGGGUAUAUUCGAAUUUUUCAAGUGAAAAAGUGUUGAAGAGCAAUUUUUAUUGCUUAAUUCAUACAAAUAUAUUGGUUAAUGAGGAAGAACAAAUUUCACCCAAAUUCCUAAAUUAUCUGAAAAAGUGAGCAGAAUUUGGCAGAUUGUUUCUUACGAAACUAAUCAUGGAUAUUUUUAAGUCAUUACUUUCAAAACCAACAGAGAAUAAUGAUGUGGCCUAUUGUAAAAGAAUAUGAGCAGGUAUUCAUACAAAUAUGGCGAUAGAGAGCUUGAAUAAAUAUCCGAAAUCUAAUAAAAUAGAAGGAAAAGAAAAUAAGAGUUGACAAGCUAUAGAUUUGUUGGAAGAAAUAGUUGAUGAGAAGAUGUGGAUGAAAAUUAUGAGAAAUGAAAGACCUAACUCCAACAACUAUCAACAAAAAAUUUCUGUAGAAUCUCAUUAAAAAGCAGAAACAAUGAAAGACUUGAUAGAGGAGGUCUGUAUAUGAUUGUAGCAUUUCACAUAUGCCUACUUAUGCGUUUCGUCCCUGGCAGACACACCGGACUCAUCAGUGUGACAGCAAGUUCAUAUUUUUUUUUCAUUUUCAGCAGACUACCAAAACUUCAUAGCAAAUAAUUUACAACAUUAAAAUGAUAUUGACAAAGAAUCGUGAUAAAUUCUAACUGAACUAGCAUGUUACACAUUAAGAGACGAACGAUGUGCCAAUGUGAACAGAAGAACCAGUCUAUAUCAAAAUGAAUUGUAUAUAAUUUUGAACAAAUGUAAGCUUUCUUACAAUAAACUACUUCCUGUAUUUA